CGCAAGAGAAGAAUGCCUUUCAGCAACAUGAAUUUGCUGUUAAGCACUUACAAGAUACAAAGUGAUGGAUGAAUAGGAGAAUGUAUGUGAACAACCAGAACUAACAGACCCGGGACAGUGCAGCUGGGCUUGAGUUGUAAGGUCAGACAACUUUUCUUUGU
rnacentral:lncRNA from 1 species